AGCGGUGUUUUUUUGAAGCUACAGUACGGGCUUAGCAACCCCGAGGUACCCGAGCUAGAGAGGGGCCAGCGGGCUCCAAUAGAUGAGAAGUAAGAGAUACUGCAAACAGUAUUAAAACGAUGCAAGAGAGGAAUUAACCUGUAAUGAGAAAUAAAAUGCAUACGUAAGCAAAUAGAGAAAGUGACAGUGGAAUAGCUUUGCCAAUUGUAAAAAGCUGAUCACUUAAAUAAACGACUGAACUGAAUUGAACUGAUGAGCCGUAGGCAACACAGAUCGUCCUGAAUGGAAUCUUUCAUUUCUACAGUCGAUACUUGCUCCAUUCUAUGAAACUACAGUUGGGCGGCCAGAGAGCUCCAACAGACAUGCAUUGGAUUUGGACGUAAUGUGAAUGUAAUGUACGGCGUGGUGUUAUGAUAACGCGAACUGAGCCUUCAUUUACUGUAGAAUCCCAAAAUUAAGGAGUUACGUAAAACAAAGCAACGGAAAGAACUAUAUAGAUCAUAAUAUAAAAAUGAUGUAUGGGUUAUUGUUAUAAAAAAGACAAGGAUAUUUGAAACAAAUUUAGGCUCCCUUUUAUCUUCUACCAUUCGCUUUAAAAAUAUUUAUUGCCUACUAAAAGAUUAGCUCUCCAGUGUUCCAGUGUAGGAACAGAACCAGGGAUUAAUGUACGCACUGAUAACGGGUGAUCCGUGUGAAAAUAAACCACAAAAUGUCAAGUUGACGUCGGUCGAGCGACUCGACCGACCGUUUCGAAACUGUUGCAUUUAUUUACAUCAGUGAUUGCAAAGAAAUAUACACACGAAGCAGCGUUGUAAACGUACUUUUUCGUUCGUUGUUCCUUACUCAUGGAACGUACAUUCGCUCUCCUCGCCGAGAAACGAUUACUUUGCUCCAUUAUCGCGUUAUUAUUCGUCCAUCGUUUUACGUAAUAUUGCAUCAUCGAAAAUGGGGCGGGAGGAAGGGGGUCAUUGGCGCAGCCUUAAACUAAGUAAAUCGCUGGACAACUGUACCGCCGUACUACUGCCACUUACGUGUAUUUUUUUCAUUCUUCGUUUUAUUCCUUUUUUUUUUACAAUCUUUUUUUGUAUUUUUUUUUUUUUUGGUUCAUUUCACGAUGUCUCGUCGUAGGUUACUUGAACGCUGGUAAAAGGGCGAAACGCGCGCAACUAUCGGAUAGUAGAGUAUGAUAUAGUAAGGCGUUAUCGGACGAUCGUCGAUACCACAAUCAUCGGUUUAAUUUACAAAUGUGUCGGUGAACGUGUCUACUCGAUCGCGAUCGUUCGCAGGGAUGGGCGAAACUUUUGUUUUGAUACAAAUUUCGAAAAACGGAUAAAAGACGCGAAAGUACUUGACGUUUAUGUUUGAAGUUUGGUUCGUUUAUUCAUACACGCGUAUACAAGAACUCCUAAAACUUUCGAUUGCUCAGCUCAAUUCGUUUCGAAGUUACGUAGAAUGUUGCACGUCAUGUCCUUCUUAACCCUUUCAGACCUGGCGUCUGCAAUUAAGGACACAAAAUUAAAAAAUUACCGAAACUAUCGUUUAACUACACUGUUAGAAAUUUAAAAAAGAAUUUUUUUUUCACAGUAAUUUUAGUCCAAGUGAACCCUAAACAUUAAAUUUAGCAAGAAAAUAAUUCAGAUCUGAAAGUUCUUAGAAAAAGUCUCUCGUGAAACGUUAAAAUAUAGUACGAAUUGCAUUCGACUCCCCAUUGCAACCUUUUCAGGGUUCAACUGUUACACCAAUUACAUUUAACGAAUGAACUGCCAUACGUUGCUUUCAUUUGUCCGUUACUCGCGUGAAAGUUUGCCCAUCCCCGACCACUUGGCGAACAUUUUGUUCGGUCGAGCGAGGUGCUCCGUCGGAAAGGAACCGUUCGCACAGAAAUCCUUUGACGAGAAACCUCCUUCGUCGAAAAGAAAUAAAAUUAUUAGACCCUGGACCUCCUUGUAUACCGGGACACGUCUUUAAGACGCUACUUUCGAGAAUUACAAAAGAUUUUCGAGGGAAGAAGGUAGGUUCGAUUCAGUCAUCCCCAGACGGAGUGAUUCUUUUCUCUGCGAAGUCUCUGCGAAAACUGAAAGAGCGACAAACGUCUCAAAGCAUACAAGUUUCGGAUCCUUCUUUGGCCCGAAGCUGGCAAAGGUGCGCAGGAGACGUUGAAGUCUCUUUCAGCGUACAAAGUCACAGUACGUGACACAGAAACGAAAGCCCUUUGAGAUUUUCGGCUACAAGUCCUGUCCUCCCGGACCCGUGUAUUUUACAACGUUUCGUUUCUUUUUGGUCAGCUGGUAAGUCGUAGUGUCCAUCCAAUAGACAGGAGGAUAACAUACAUAAUAAAUAUUAACUCUUUGACUUCUACAGGAACAAUUUAUCUUUUCGUACUCGAAUAACUACAGCUUCGGCUUUUGAUAAAAAAGUUGAGGGAAUUUAUCAGUUUCAUUGUAGUUUCUUCAAACGAUCUACACUACUGGAAUAGGUGUAACUGAACUAUGGAUGUUCAUGCAAAUUCAUAUUUUCACAGAUACAAAACAAGAUUUGGAAUUUAAAUGAAAAUACCCUUCAUUUUUGCAUUUGCACAUCUCCUCACACAUACUCCAAUAGUUUCACUUAUCAUAAGUGCAUAAACAUGUUCAAUAACAGUUCUAUUCAAUGCAACACGAUGUCAAAGUGUUAAUAGACUUACCACUGUGCUCAAUACGAGUCCAGAAGAUUAUGUUUAACACUGUCAAAAUUUCAAUAUACCGCGUGUUUAUAGAAAAUUUGACAAGUUUCAACACCCUUCUAACCAAAAAUACGAAAAGUUCUGACUACGUCUCCUGCAUAGAAUUUUCUAUUUGACGAAGGGGUGCGCCCGUAUAUCAUCCACAACGGAACAACUUCCUUUCCGCGACAAAGGAACGAAACGUCGCCAAGAUUCGCGCGAGAUCGAUGGAUGAUCGGGCGAAAACUACUGCUGACGAAGGAAACGUCGUCAAUACCUAUGUAGAUCUAUUAUUACUCGUUACCUUUAAACGAAAAUCGCAGCGAUUUGUGCUGUGAGCAGCAACGGAGGAAAUCGAGUGGUUCACGCGUCUAUAGAGAAUGGUUUCGUAUAGCGACGGGACUGAAUCGUAGACACUCUCGGCACAGACGACGAAAGUGAACAAAGUGUCGUUUCGCAUCAAACCGUUUCGAUACCAGCGCGAGAGCACCGACACGAGUCAAUUGCAACAGCUCGUAUCUCCUUGGUAUCGAUUUUCGAUACGUCAAUAAUUCAGCAACGAGUGUUGCUUCCAGCGAACACCAGCGUCGGGCGAAGUCUAAUCUGGUUAUUAAUUACCAGACUGCGGAUGUUUAUGCAUUUAUGGUAAGUGAAAUUAUGGGAGAAUGUAUGAAAAUCCGCACAAAUACGAAAAUAUGUUAAUCAUAAACAAUAUUAUACAUGCUAUACCGUUUAGAAGAUGAAACAUGCUUCCGCUUGAGUUUCGAUUCAUUUCUG